GAUGGCUGGAUGGAUGAUGGAUAGAUGGCUGGAUGGAUGAUGGAUAGAUGGCUGGAUGGAUGAUGGAUAGAUGGCUGGAUGGAUGAUGGAUAGAUGGCUGGAUGAUGGAUGGAUGAUGGAUGGACACUGUAGCAAAGACAUUCUAUUAUUUCUACUGUAGUUUACUUGAAGGACCUCGCUCUGUAUCACCACGUCGUUGAGGAGGACCUCCCUCUGUAUCACCACGUCGUUGAGGAGGACCUCCGUCUGUAUCACCACGUCACUGAGGAGGACCUCCCUCUAUCACCACGUCACUGAGGAGGACCUCCCUCUGUAUCACCACGUCACUGAGGAGGACCUCCGUCUGUAUCACCACGUCGCUGAGGAGGACCUCCCUCUGUAUCACCACGUCACUGAGGAGGACCUCCCUCUAUAUCACCACGUCACUGAGGAGGACCUCCCUCUGUAUCACCACGUCACUGAGGAGGACCUCCCUCUGUAUCACCACGUCGCUGAGGAGGACCUCCCUCUAUAUCACCACGUCACUGAGGAGGACCUCCCUCUGUAUCACCACGUCACUGAGGAGGACCUCCCUCUGUAUCACCACGUCGCUGAGGAGGACCUCCCUCUAUAUCACCACGUCACUGAGGAGGACCUCCCUCUAUAUCACCACGUCACUGAGGAGGAGCUGAGUAACUAACUUUUACAUGAGUUGAUUGCGUAGUAGUGGUACAUCUAAAAUGGGACCCUAUUCCCUAUAUUGUACACUACUUUAGACCAGAGCCCUAUGGCACCAUAUUCCCUAUAUUGUACACUACUUUAGACCAGAGCCCUAUGGCACCCUAUUCCCUAUAUUGUACACUACUUUAGACCAGAGCCCUAUGGGUUCUGAAGUUUCAAAGUAGUGCACUAUAUAGGGAAUGGGAUUCCAUUUGAGACGCAACACUAUGACUACUAGGACCACCUGACUGACUGCUGGUAGAAUCUACACACAGGUUUGACCUCCUUUCUCCACUAUGGGGCACUCUACAGUAGGACUAAAGCUUUGUCGAAUGCUGCACAUGGUUAAUACAUGGAUGAGGUUUUAAUACACUGAUGAGGUUAAUACACUGAUGAGGUUUUAAUACACUGAUGAGGUUAAUACACUGAUGAGGUUUUAAUACACUGAUGAGGUUUUAAUUCACUGAUGAGGUUAAUACACUGAUGAGGUUUUAAUACACUGAUGAGGUUUUAAUUCACUGAUGAGGUUAAUACACUGAUGAGGUUAAUACACUGAUGAGGUUUUAAUACACUGAUGAGGUUAAUACACUGAUGAGGUUUUAAUACACUGAUGAGGUUUUAAUACACUGAUGAGGUUUUAAUACACUGAUGAGGUUAAUACACUGAUGAGGUUUUAAUACACUGAUGAGGUUUUAAUUCACUGAUGAGGUUUUAAUACACUGAUGAGGUUUUAAUUCACUGAUGAGGUUUUAAUACACUGAUGAGGUUAAUACACUGAUGAGGUUAAUACACUGAUGAGGUUUUAAUUCACUGAUGAGGUGAGGACACACGGAUGAGGUUUUAAUACACGGAUGAGGUGAGGAUACACAGAUGAGGUAAUGAUACGCGGAUGAGGUGAGGAUACACGGAUGAGGUUUUAAUACACUGAUGAGGUGAGGAUACACGGAUGAGGUUUUAAUACACGGAUGAGGUGAGGAUACACGGAUGAGGUUUUAAUACACUGAUGAGGUGAGGAUACACGGAUGAGGUAUUUGAUACACGGAUGAGGUAAUGAUACACGAAUGAGGUAAUGAUACACGGAUGAGGUGAGGAUACACGGAUGAGGUGAGGAUACACGGAUGAGGUGAGGAUACACGGAUGAGGUAUUUGAUGUGGACGGACACAGAUGUUUACUCGGUGUUGGUUACAGUUUGUCUAUUUCCUCUCCAGCGAUGACAUGGUUUUUGUUGUUGUUUCAUUAUGUCUCGGAAACCUGCUUUUUCUGGUACUUCUCAAAUAAACAGAUAACAUCUUGUGGUGAUUUUUAAGUUUUCAUGUUUGUAAUAACGGUCUUUAGCGUGGAGACGGCCAAAUCAUUCAGUUGAUUUCCUUAAUGUAGUCUUAUGUUUUGUGAGUUUAACCUUGCAGACAUGACGAGUGUCAUCGUGUGUUUGGCUGGGAGCCGUCAUGAUUCAGCUGCUGUUCAUGUGGUUGAAUCUGUGAUUGCUUAGUUCAUAGUUUAUAACAAUGACAUUUAUUUGUUGAAUCACGUCGAGUUAAUUUGAUGUUUCAUCUGUGUACGUUUUUAUGAUUUAAAAGCAUAUGGACAGCGGUGUUUCUUCCACAUUUUUGUUGUUGAGAACUUAAAUACUGUGACUUGACUUCAGGUACCCAGAAUGAUCAAUAACUUCAGGUACCCAGAAUGAUCAAUAACUUCAGGUACCCAGAAUGAUCAAUAACAGCAGUACAAAUGGAAUAACCAACUGUAGCUUUGGUAGUUUCACAGAUCCUUUAAAAGUGCUGUUAGCAUUGACUUACUCUUCAAGUAAGAUGUACAUCAAUCAUCGAUCAUGUUUUUUCAAUCACUUCACCGUGAGGACUUGUUUCUAUUUAAAUCUGAACCUGUAGUGCUGACAUCUUUGUCCUGGGGAAUAUGGUAGUCCUGUGUGAGACUUUAACAACACUGACCAUCCAGUCUGUCAAUACAAUCACAGUCUGUAGCCUAACGUGUAAAAGUCCCAGCCUCGGUCUUACACAGUAGCUGAAUGUUUAUUCUGUUUUUACUAAUAAAAAAAACACUUGACACAUAUAUUUACUGUUCUGUUUUUUUUAAAUGCUGUUUGACUGUUCAUGAUUCCAUGUCAACUUUACUACACCAGAAACAAUAAAGUGUUUUUUUGAUUCCUUU